rnacentral:tRNA from 1 species
GCCUGGAUGGCUCUCGGUCAGUAGGACAUCAGACUUUUAAUCUGAGGGUCCAAGAUUCAAGUCCCUGUUCAGGUU